rnacentral:lncRNA from 1 species
UGAAUUUUGACAUAUCAAUGAUAUUCCCGCUAUAGAAGGGAAACCCAAGAGCAACGGUUAAGUUGUUUUAGUGUGACCUAUAGGUCACAUAUUCGAACGGUAAAUUAAGUUGUCUCCGUAUGAUCUAUAGGUCACAGGUUCGAGCUGUGAAAUCAGUCACUGAUGCUUGCAUCAGGGUAGACUACCUACGUUACGACCUUUUUUCGGAUCCUGCAUGAACACGAGAUGUUUUAUAUACCGAACUACUCUUUUCGUGAUAUUCCUGUGAUAAAAUAGCAUGCUAACAGAAAUUAACAAUAUUUUUCAGGAAGAAGACACACGUAAGACAAGGAGAUUACAUACUAGAGUAAUAAAGAAAUUACCUUCUAUAUUAGUAUCAAAAAAAUAUAAAGCAGCCAAAGGUUCCAAAGUACGCAAUUCAUGUGGGGUGAAAACACCAAAAGCUGCAACUUUGCACAAUUCAAGUGUGGCAAAAACAACAAAAAGUCCAACUUUUCAUAAUUCAUGUGGAGUAGCCAGCAACUUCAGAAUAAUGACAGAUAUAAGAAACAAGAUCCUCUCCUUAAGAGACUUGCUUGAUCUUUCUCCUUGUGAUGGCUCUGAAUCUGCAAAUGAGGUAUUUCUUCAGUUACUUUAUCUUCAAGGAUUUAAUAAGUUUAAGUUAUAUAUACUGUCGAAUGGGAGCCUUGAAGCAACGGUAAAGUUGUUUCCGUGUGACCUAUAGGCGACGGGUUCGAGCCAUGGAAUCAGCCAUUGAUGCUUGCAUCAGGGUAGGAUGCCUACAUCACCCCCUUGGGAUGUGGCCCUUCCCGGACCCUGAAUGAACGCGGGAUGCUUCGUUCACCGGGCUGCCCUAAGUUAUAUAUACUGCCAGUGUAAAGAAUGUUUACGUCAUCAUGUCAAUUUUAUCUAUCGUAGCAGAUAAUCUGUCUUAUUUUCAAGAUUACAAAUCCAACAUUUUAAGGAGAUUUACCUAAAGAUAUCAUUUGGGUGACCUGAUAACGUAAAAGAUUUCUUCCACUAACAGUGUAUAUAACUUUACUUUUUGAAUAUACAAACUGAUUUUGCAAAAAAAUAAUAUUACACUAUCAGGAUAUUUUAACUCAUCAUAGCAGGUAACAUGCCUCAUAUUCCAGGUUACUAAUUCCGUUUCUUAUGGACGGUUAAUUACCUGUAAUUUAAGUGACCUGAUAGUGUAAAAAUUAUAUUAUGCUGUCAGUAUAUAGAAGUUAAACUUCUUCGAUACUUGUUAAAGGUCAAUGCCAUUUUCCAGAACAGAACAAGAAGUCUUUUUUAACUUUCUGUUUUGUGCAUAUUUUCCUACAGCUGCUGAUAUCAACUCUGAUUGAUCUACAUAAACUGUAUCCUUCGAUCAACCCGGAUUUUUCAUUGGCAAAAAUUGAUGGAGCAGCAAUACAUGAGGUUAUUUACUCCCUAAGUUGAGCAUUUUUAAUAUAUGCAGUACUGUUGUUUUUAAGCAAAACCACAACUUACUGAGCUAACCAAAGUUUCCCUAUUUUUUCAGAAAGUGCGAUGCUUUUGUGAUAUAUUGAAAUCAAUCGGGCAAAUGUGGACUGGAAAUGAUGAGUGGAUGAUCAAAUGCAAAGAGAACUCAUGCAGUAAACUAAAUGAUUUUGAAUAUGGUAUGAUCAUAUCUGUAGUUUAAUACUCCCUCCGUCCCAAAAAGAUAGUAAUUCUUUUCGGAUUAGGAGGGUCAACUUCUUAACUUUGACCAUGAAUUCGGACAUAGAAUCUUUAAUUUUUUUUAAAAUAAAAUUUAUAUAUUUGAAAACUACAGAAAAAGUACUAUAAGUCAUAAUAAUUAAUAAUUUAAAAUAUUUCAAAGGUACAUGAAAAAGUCGUGGUCAAAGAACAACUCGUUUGACUCUCGAAAUCCGAAAAUGUCAUCCUUUUUGGGACGGGGGAGUAUUAUAUAGUGAUUUAUUUUAUGUUAUUCAUCAUUUUUUCUUCGAUAUGAGAGUUAUAAUUAAUGAUUUUUUUCGGUUUACAAUUUAGUAUCGGCAUUGCUCGAAGACAUUAUUAAGCUAGCUAGUGAAAGGAUGAUAGAAAUGACGGAUGAGGAUGAGGAUGACGAUGAGGACGAGUACGAGGAUAUUGAGGAUGAUCAGACCAGAGAUAGAAGUCCUUCACCUGAUGCAUUUGAGGAGGAUAUUGAGGAUGAUCAGACCAGAGAAAGAAGUCCUUCCCCUGAUAUAUUUGAAAAGGAUUUUUCCGAGUGUUAUUCAAGC